CUACACGUUGCUGUAGUAAUUGGUGGGUUUAUUUGGACCACUUGUUGACAGGCUCAGAUUACAAGGUUUUUUAUUCUUAUUUAUAGUUGACUGGGUUAUUUUUAUGAAUUUGCAACGCUGGCAACAGUCGCAGAAAAAAACCCAAGUCGCUGUCAUUGCGCGCACAUUUGAGGACGGGCGGAAUAUUGUGAGUACUUGUUGCGAACCAUACGGCGGCGGCAGCGUCCCAGAGCUGUCAAAUAUUGCGCACAGCCGAUCUACAGUCAGUGGAGUAACCAGACUAAUCCAUCAGACAGACAACUCGGAAGAUUAGCCUUUUUACCCUGACCAAACUAUUUUUCUCUACCUACCCGGAAGCCUGUUUUUUUUUAAAAGUCAUGAUCAUUUUUUUUGUCACAUGGCUUUUGGAGAAUUCAAUAACAACAAAAAAUGGCGACAAUCACGUUGCUCUGUGUGGUCUUGCUGCGUCAUUAAAAAUAUUCAUGUAAACACGGGGAAUUAAACACGGAAAUAGCAGUGCCCUGUGCAGCGGGGCUAAUGGAGUUGUUUACAUCAAGUGCAGAGGGCGGACUGACGGAGAGGAGGAGCCGCUACGUCGGCGCGAGACGCGACCGGACUGCUCGAGAGGCUCGCUCGCGCCGAGAGGGGAGGGGGCGGAGCUUCAGGAAGAAUCAUAACAAGUCUGACGUCACUCGGCCUUGUGGUUCGUAUGAAUAAUAUUUAUUGUGUGUCUCUAACAGGUCCGAGCAGGAAGAAGGAGGAGAGAGGAGAGAGGAAGCAGGCUGUGUCUACCUGAAUGUGGUUUUAUUAGAGGAAGCAUUGACAUUAACGCAACACUUUAAUCAACGGCAUAAUUAUUAAAAAAAAAAAAAAGAAUAUUUAUAUGCAGAAACGUGAGCUUUACUUCUAGUUUUCAACACUGGGUUUGAUUUUUUUUUUUUUUUUUUUUUUUUGCAAUUCAUCAAGUUCAUUUAUUAUACAUGAAGUAGAUGUAAAAAAAUAAAUAAAAACCCAAAAACAGUUAAAUCAACGGUUUAAUAAUUUUAAAAAUGAACAUUUAUAUGCAGAAUAUAUAAGCUUUACUUCGAGUUUUCAACACUGAGUUUUUUUUUGUUUUGUUUUUCAAUUUGUCAACUUCAUUUAUAAUGCAUGAAGUAGAUGUAAAAACAAACAAAAAAACAGUUAAAUCAACGGUAUAAUAAUUUUUUAAAAAAAUGAACAUUUAUAUGCAGAAACGUGAGCUUUACGUUGAGUUUUCAACACUGUGUUUGAUUUUUAUUUAUUUAUUUAGUUUUUGUAGUUCAUCAAGUUCAAUUAUUAUACAUGAAGUAGAUGUAAAAAAAAAAAAAAAAAAAACAAACAGUUAAAUCAACAGUAUAAUAAUUUUUUUAAAUGAACAUUUAUAUGCAGAAUACAUGAACUUUACUUUGAGUUUUCAACACUGGGUUUGAUUUGUUUUAUUUUUUUUUAUUUGCAGUUCAUGAGGUUCAUUUAUUAUACAUAAAGUAGAUGUAAAAACAAACAAACAAAAAAACAGUUAAAUCAAUGGUAUAGUAAUUUUUAAAAAAUGAGCAUUUAUAAGCAGAAAACAUGAGCUUUACUUCUAGUUUUCAACACUGGGUUUGAUUUUUUUUUUUUUUUAAUUCAUCAAGUUCAUUUAGUAUACAUGAAGUAGAUGUAAAAACAAAAACAAAAAAAAACAACUGUUAAAUCAACGGCAUAAUAAUUUAAAAAAUAAACAGUCAUAUGCAGAAACGUGAGCUUUACUUCUAGUUUUCAACACUGUUUGAUUUUUUUAUUAAUAUUUUUUGCAAUUCGUCAAGUUCAUUUGUUAUACAUGAAGUAGAUGUAAAAACAAAAAAAAGUUAAUAAUUUUUAAAAAAUGAACACUCAUAUGCAGAAACGUGAGCUUUACUUCUAGUUUUCAACACUGUGUUUGAUUUUUAUUUUUAUUUUUAUUUUUUUGCAAUUCAUCAAGUUCAUUUAUUAUACAUAAAGUACAUGUAAAAACAAACAAAAAAAACCCCCUGUUAAAUCAACGGCAUAAUAAUUAAAAAAAAAAAAAUAUUCAUAUACAGAAACAUGAGCUUUACUUCUAGUUUUCAACACUGUGUUUGAUUUUUUUAUUAAUAUGUUUUGCAAUUCAUCAAGUUCAUUUGUUAUACAUGAAGUAGAUGUAAAAACAAAAAAAAACAUUAAAAUAGUCAGUUUGUACAACUUUUUUUUUUUUUUAACUUUAUUUAUAGAACAUUGUGAACAUUUUAGACAGUGUGAUAUACAACAAAAGGUAUAAAAAGGUAGAAUAAACAUUGAUCGUCACACCUGAAUGUUAACUACAAGACCCAAAUAAGAAAGAAAAAAACAGAGACCAGUUCAACUAGAAAAAAUAAAAAUAAAUAAAUAAAUAAUGAAAAUAAAAAACAUAAUAUUAAAUGCAAUAACAAAAAAGUAAAUAAAUAAUUACACAUAUCGAUCCUCCAACUCAGAGGAAAAGUCUAGAGAAUGUAUAUCGUUAGUUUGUACAACUUUUAAAACUAUUAGGUUUCUGGUGUUGUGGGUGGAGCCAGUGUCAUGUGACUGGAUGAUGUGCAAUUACAAAACAGCAUUUUCAUAUCAUAUUGAACAACUACUACAAUAUUUAUAAGAGAAAGACAAUCAUAAUGCUCAGUUCUUAAAGUAAAUAUAAUCCAUGUUCUUUUGUGCCUCAAAAAUGAUUUAACAUUAGCGGAUGGAUUUAAAAUGUGAUUUUGCAAGAACUCAAAUUAGAGCAGCGUAAUCUUCCCCUAGGCUGCACAUAUUUUCACGUUGCUUGUUCCGAUAGAAAACAUAGAUUCAUACAUGUUUAAGUUUUUACAUUCAGUAAAGCCUAGGUAAUAUUUCCUCCAUGUGGGAGCUUGAAAUGAGCAUAAUUUCAGACUUUCUUUCAAAGUUUUAAAAUCAUUUAAUCAGGUUUUAGUUCAUUGAAUUGCUUUGUUUGUCACAAUUUAGUAAUAUUUUCUCAUGAAUAGUCUAUCCAAAUGAGCUUUUUAAACACUAUUGUUAAUAAAAGUCAGAUUGUUUGGAGUGCUGUAUGAAAUUCCUCACUUGCUCCCAUAUGUUUUGUCUAGGAAUGUUUUUUUUUUUAACCCACUGACCCCCAGUGCCACUUGCAGGUUGAUGAAUGGAACGGUGGACUGCUAGAUUUGACAGGCUGCCCUGGUUCAGUUAUCACAGUGCUGAUGCUGUCCCCAUCGAAGGUACAGUACUGUGAUAACUGAAGGAUGGCUGCCAACUUGACUCUAAAGCAGCGGAUUAAAGCACAUUCACCUGAGAAUUAUCCAACGAGAAGGUGGAGAAGAGUGAGUCUACAAACAAGAACACUGGUAUAAGUUAAUAAGUUCAUGAAAUCUCUUUUCGCCUUUUAAUGUCAGCUGAGUUUGACCGGCUCAGUGGUCGUUUCUGUAAAUGUUUAUGCAUUGUUUUGUAUUAUAAGACAAAAUAAAUCAUUUAAACAGAAAUUGUUGUGAUAUAUACCACUGUAGCUGUUGAAAAUGCACUGGGUUUUAGGCUGUAGCUGUAAAACAACCAGUUGAAACAACAGUUAAAAGGGUUGUAGUUUUUAAUCUCUUACAUGUUUUCUUAGUAAAAUGUUAUCGUGUUCCUUCUAUGUUAAUAUUUAAAGAGGAAUUCCAAAAAAAAACAUAAAAGGAACUCAAAUCUAAAGUCUCUAAAACAGAACGGCAGAUACAUUUCACAGUUCAGCAUAAGUCUUAACACUUUAGAAAUAGCUGAUGAGUUUCAUUUUGGAAAAAACCUGGACCGGCCAUGUCCUUAAGAACUGAAGUGUAAAAUAAUCCAGUGUGAAUGCACCUCAUUGUGGUCAACAGAGGGAGCUGGAGAUCUAUUAAUGGUGUCCUCUGAACUCAAAUAGUAAAAAUAAUCAGCUCUGAGCUUUUGGGAAUGAUGUUUUGAAAUUAUGUUGAUGGGGAAACUUGUUAAACAUGCUCAUUUUUCUAAAUUCAUAUU